rnacentral:rRNA from 1 species
UACGGAGGGUGCAAGCGUUGUCCGGAAUCACUGGGCGUAAAGGGCGCGUAGGCGGCUCAUGAAGGCUGUGGUGAAAGUCCGGGGCUCAACCUCGGAUCGGCCGUGGCGACUCGUGGGCUGGAGCACUGUAGAGGCGGGUGGAAUUCCGGGUGUAGCGGUGGAAUGCGCAGAUAUCAGGAAGAACACCGAUGGCGAAGGCGGCUCACUGGCCCGAUACUGACGCUGAGGCACGAAAGCGUGGGGAGCAAACAGG